AGAGAGAGAGAGGUGCGAUGGUGAAGGUGAUGUGGUUUGAACCACCGCACGAGCACCUGCCGCUACCGAACACCACCACCGGAGUUCCCUGCCGCCGCACGAACACCACCGGAGUUCCCAGUCGUUCACCGGAGCACCUCCAGCGUUCACCUAGAAUAUAAGCUUCAUGGCACUGCCAGUCAUGCCAAGUAUACACCUUUGAAGUGAUGAACGAUAACUACAACUACAUGCGCCGCUGAUUGAUGGUUCACCAGCAGUGAAUUCACGAUUGUUUCAACAACCACAGGUGCCAAAUAUUUUCUCAGGUAUCUUUCCGAAGAGGAUCACGUAUUACUGGGUUGUUCCAUACCAUCAGCGAUAUGGAGUAGGCUGGUAUUCCGUCUGCUUCAAUCAGUAGUGUUGGACAGAUUUUUGUUAUGUUUCUGUUAAUGAGAUUAUCCUUGACAAAGGCAAAGUUUUU
rnacentral:lncRNA from 1 species